rnacentral:lncRNA from 1 species
AUUGGAGAUAGGGAUGUUGAGGGUGCAAAGAGAGGUCUCCAUGAUUGGGCAGGUGUAUGACCUGUUGCACCUCAUCUGGAAAACAUACCACCUAACCCCUAAAUAAAUGAGGGAACUCAAAGCACUUGGAGCUCAACAGUCACAGUGAAUGCACCGAGUGGAGUGAAAGGGACCAGGUGGCUGCCCCAUGUGUCCCGGAGUUUGAGGACCUUCCUAAAACCAGGGAAGGAUGGUAAUUCCUCUGGCCAGUUUACAGCCUUGUAUGUGCACAUGGAGCAUCUGGCAGGUGCCUCGGCCAGUGCAGAUAGCUGGCAGAGCAAAGAAGGUCAAAGUCAGCAUGGAGGAUGGGACAUGUGGCAUUUUGCCACUUCCUGUCAGACCUUUUCUCUUCCAUCAGCAACUUCAGCCUGCAGCUUCAGAAAAACAAUGUAAUCCUACCUCAGGCUGUUAGUGGCAUCGAAUCUCUCUUGGCUACCAUAGAAGCUAUGGCAGCUAGCCCCAAACCUGAUGGUAAGCUGUCUUAGUUCCUUGCAGCCAUGAAGAAGCAGCGCCAACCGAGAGGAGGAGAACCUGGGGCUGGGACGUUCAAGUAUCAGGAUGUCACGCUUUCUAAAGGUGAAGCUGCAGAGCUGGCAGAAGGUCAACCAAUCAGCCAGUGUGCUCCCAGACUGCAAAGAGCCAUUGUGCUGACCUGUGAGUCCACGGUGAAACACCUGAAGAAUAGAUUUAGCAGCCUACUUGAAGAGAACACAAAGGAUGCACCAACAGCCAAGGCAGUGAAGUGUUUCAAUGUCUUCAGCCAUGACUCUUGGGCAGAUAAUAGGCUGGAGCUCCUGAACCAUGGUGUGGAAGAGGUGAACUUUCUCCUACGACACUUCUCCACUGUCCUGGACAGGAAUGGCUGCAGCAAAGAAAAGGCCAAAGAGGAGUUCCAACUGAUGAAAAUGACGAUAAACACGUCAUUCAAGGACAAAAGCUAUCUUGGACUGUGGCAAGUCAUGACGACAAAAGAGCCCUACUGCUCAGACUUUGCGAAUAUCCUACACCUGGUCAAAAUCAUGCUGGUGCUCCCAAUCUCUUCAGCAGUCUGUGAAAGAGGCUUCUCAUCAGUAAACAGAAUCAAGUCAGAUGUUAGAUCAAGCCUGCAUACUGAAACUGUUGAGGACCUAAUCCGUAUUAGUGUUGAGGGGCCACAAUUGGAGGACUAUGAUGCCAGGCAGGAUGUUAAGCAAUGGUUCUCCCAGGGUAAGAGGAGCAGGAGGCCUAACUAUAUGAGCUGGUCCCUAGAAUGA